CCGCCUCCAGAAGCUCUGGCCAAUCACAGGCGUUACCGAUUGCUUCCGGGGGCGGAGCCGCAGGAAAGGCCAGUUACUUGCGUGGAGCUUGCUGUAGCCCGCCCCUUACCCGGACUGGACCAAUAGAAACAAGCUUCAGGCGCGCGCUCACAGGCCUCUGCCCCGGAAAGCUUCCGUGUUGGCCAAGCAUCUUAAAGGUGUGGGUACCAGAUUCCACCAGGUUAGGAGACAAAGGGCAGAGGGCGGCGAGAGCGCAGGCGCGUCACUUACCUCUGGCGCCAGAUGGCGCCAAAGCGAAAUGACGGGGUGUGACCCGGAAAAACGCUCAGCGGAGAACCCCAGAAAUGAAGAGUUUAAGCCAGAAGAGGGAAUUUAUUAUUAGGGUACAAGAAUAUCUCCAGAAUACAGCUGGGCUCUAGGAAUAAACUGGAGCCAGGUAGCUGUUUUAAGCAUUUUACAUAUUUAAUUCUUACAGCAACUCAUUUAAUCCUCACAACAACCUAGAGGUGGUGUGGCUGCACCGAUGUUAUGGAUGAGAAAACUGGGACCCACGGCUUGUCUGAGAUCACCCAGAAAGGCACAGCUGCAGCUCACCAGCACUCCUCAAUGCUCCUCAGCAAGGGGAACCAGUCUCCCACCCCCUGGGGACCCUGGAGUGGAAGAGGCGGCAGCAGCUGGAGAACAAAGCAGUAGAAGUAAAGGAAGCCACUCACAGGAGAUAAACUUCCCUUUAUCUGCCGAGCUGAGGAGCAGUCUUCUGGCUGUGAACCAGGGAGAAGUUUGAGAAUUUAAAAAAUCUAAUUACCCUGAAUAAACUUUCAACCUGUUUUAUUUUAAAUACUAGAGGCCCAGUGCACAGCAUUCGUGCAUUCGGGGGGCGGAGGGGUCCCUCAUCCAGGCCUGCGCCCUUUCCCAGUCCGGGACCCCUCGAGCAGUGUCCCAUAGAGAGGCUCCCACCACAGCCUU